GAGGUUAUAGCUCAGUGGUAGAGUGCCUGCUUAGCAUGCACAAGGUCCUGGGUUUAAUCCCCAGUACCUCCA
rnacentral:tRNA from 1 species